rnacentral:rRNA from 1 species
GAUUAGAUACCCUGGUAGUCCACGCCGUAAACGAUGUCGACUUGGAGGUUGUGCCCUGAGGCGUGGCUUCCGGAGCUAACGCGUUAAGUCGACCGCCUGGGGAGUACGGCCGCAAGGUUAAAACUCAAAUGAAUUGACGGGGGCCCGCACAAGCGGUGGAGCAUGUGGUUUAAUUCGAUGCAACGCGAAGAACCUUACCUUACUCUUGACAUCCAGAGAACUUAGCAGAGAUGCUUUGGUGCCUUCGGGAACUCUGAGACAGGUGCUGCAUGGCUGUCGUCAGCUCGUGUUGUGAAAUGUUGGGUUAAGUCCCGCAACGAGCGCAACCCUUAUCCUUUGUUGCCAGCGGUCCGGCCGGGAACUCAAAGGAGACUGCCAGUGAUAAACUGGAGGAAGGUGGGGAUGACGUCAAGUCAUCAUGGCCCUUACGAGUAGGGCUACACACGUGCUACAAUGGCAUAUACAAAGAGAAGCGACCUCGCGAGAGCAAGCGGACCUCAUAAAGUAUGUCGUAGUCCGGAUUGGAGUCUGCAACUCGACUCCAUGAAGUCGGAAUCGCUAGUAAUCGUAGAUCAGAAUGCUACGGUGAAUACGUUCCCGGGCCUUGUACACACCGCCCGUCACACCAUGGGAGUGGGUUGCAAAAGAAGUAGGUAGCUUAACCUUCGGGAGGGCGCUUACCACUUUGUGAUUCAUGACUGGGGUG